rnacentral:lncRNA from 1 species
UAAUACAUGAGAAAAGAGGGUGAGAAAUGACAACAGAAGAAACCAUGGAAUUCCAGGCUCCUCAUGCACAUUCAGCAAAAGAAUCCUGAAAGUAGACUCCUUGGACUGGAGCAGACAAAGAAGCUAGCAAGAAAGAUACCCUAACAUAGAGGAAUCAAGUAUUAGCAACAGAAUACCUCCAAGUUGAACUAACCUCAACAUGAAGAGGCAGCUCAACAGGAUAACUCCAAGUUGAACUAACCUCAACAUGAAGAGGCAGCUGGUGAUUUCACAAAAGCCAGUUCAGGGUACUGUAGUUAUUGCCUGUUCUCGGUCCUCGAAGAAUGUCUUUUAUUGAGCGUUAAAGUGUAGGUUAAUAACUUAAUAUCUUAAACUUUACAUUGCUUAUCCUCACAUUUAUAAUAAUUAAAUGCAUCAUGAUCCAUAAUGUAUGUGGGAACUUGAACAUAUUACUUAGUAUAG